UUCCUGGAGACCAUAAACCUACAAUUAGCAACAUAACCACCCAUAUUCCUGGAGACCAUAACACUACAAUGAGCAACAUAACCACCUAUAUUCCUGGAGACCAUAACACUACAAUGAGCAACAUAACCACCUAUAUUCCUGGAGACCAUAACACUACAACUAGCAACAUAACCACCCCUAGUCCUGGAGACCAUAACACUACAAUUAGCAACAUAACCACCCGUAUUCCUGGAGACCAUAACACUACAAUCAGCAACAUAGACCACCCCUAGUCCUGGAGACCAUAACACUACAAUUAGCAACAUAACCACCCGUAUUCCUGGAGACCAUAACACUACAACUAGCAACAUAACCACCCCUUCUCCUGGAGACCAUAACACUACAAUUAGCAACAUAACCACCCGUAUUCCUGGAGACCAUAACACUACAAUUAGCAACAUAACCACCCCUAUUCCUGGAGACCAUAACAAUACAAUUAGCAACACAGCUAACCCUAUUACCCCUAAAAAUCCUCCCCAGACCAUUAGCACGACUGUCUUUCGUAAAACCUUUGCCCCUACUGAGAGAGCAACAAGCAGGUAUAAGACCACAGAGCAUGCUGCAGCUGUAGUUGCUGGGGCCGGAGAGGAAGUCCCAGGAUGGGGGAUCGCUCUUUUGGUACUGGCUGCCCUGAUCUUGUUAAUCCUCCUUAUUCUCCUAAUACUUCUGCUAGUGUGGUUGUGCUGUAGGCAGAGAUAUGGAAGCUUCAGCCCAUAUAACCAGAUCAACCACGGGGCAGACAUCCAAAUGUACUCCACACACAGCCGCUUCAACGUGCCCAACGGCAAGCCUAAUGACGAAAUGGGAGAACCAUCGAAAAACCAAACAGGGAUGUAUGUGGUGAACGAGUACUGACACACAGAAGCUCCAGUCAAUUGGGUAAGAAGACCAUCUGAAAUGGCCUUAUGAAGUAAUAUGCAUGGGAGCAAUGACAAUUCUGUACAAAUGGUCCAAUUAUCUCUGAAGUAUCUGAAUGAAGACCGUGGCUUUGGCUCACUGAUUGUAAUUUCAACCUGUAUUUAUUCAAAUCAAAUCACAUUUAUUUAUAAAGCCCUUUUUACCUCAGCCGAUGUCACAAAGUGCUAUACAGAAACCCAGCCUAAAACUCCAAACAGCAAGCAAUGCAGAUGUCCUAAUGUUAUUUUAUUCCUAAUGCUUUUACCAGUGGAGGCUGCUGAGGGGAGGAUGGCUCAUAAUAAUAGCUGGAAUGGAGUCGAUGUAAUGGUAUCAAGCACAUCAAACACCUGGUUUCCAUGUAGUCGUUACCAUUCCAUUCUAUUAUUCUGUACGUAAAUCCGAGACACUCCAUUUAGUAUAUGCUACUCCUCCCCGACCAACCUCCCUACUUUAGUUUCUGUCUAAAGUAACUAGGCCAUUAAAAGGUAUCAUAUGUCUUGACGUGCUCAGAAAUACGUAAAGUAUGUUUUGAAUGGCUCUGAGGCCAGGCUGGCAAUUUUGGCUUCAUUGUGGCAAUAGUUUGAGUUGUAUUUUCAGUCUUUACUGAAGGCAAGCUAAACCUUGGUAAAAAAGAAAGCUGAUCCUAGAUCAGUAAAUGGGUCAACAUAUGUAUCCUGCAAUUAACAUGUAAGAAGAAUGAGUAAGGGUGCAAUACCCAAUCAGGUACAGUUAACAAGAAGUUCAUUGUUUUCAAAGACUAUAAAUCAAACCUUUUGACUUGGGCUGAGAGAUCCAAAUCUAAUUCCCUACCGCUGGAUAAGACAUGUUUUGAGAUAGGAUGCUAGCAUGCCAAAAAGUUAACUAUUCCACAAACACAACCCAGUGAGUAAAACACCAAUGUUAUGUAUAUUUGACAAUCUGAUUAAAUAAAUCCACCAUUAUUAAUCAAUCUGUGAGAUGCAACUAUCUGUAAACAUUUGAAGUGAUCGUGCAUUGGCGCUUUAAACUUUGCAUAAAAAGAAAUCUAAAUCAUUUUUAGAUUAAAUAUUGUAAAUAAUAAAUAAAGUUUGUUAGAUUUUUAUGGG